rnacentral:rRNA from 1 species
CAGCAGCCGCGGUAACACCAGCACCUCGAGUGGUCAGGAGGUUUAUUGGGCCUAAAGCAUCCGUAGCCGGUUGCAUAAGUUUUCGGUUAAAUCUAUGCGCUUAACGUAUAGGCCGCCGAAAAUACUGUGCAGCUAGGGAGUGGGAGAGGUACACGGUACUCGAUAGGAAGGGGUAAAAUCCUUUGAUCUAUUGAUGACCACCUGUGGCGAAGGCGGUGUACCAGAACACGUUCGACGGUGAGGGAUGAAAGCUGGGGGAGCAAACCGGAUUAGAGACCCGCGUAGUCCCUGUCUUUAUACA